rnacentral:rRNA from 1 species
AUGAAGAUUAGUGGAUGGAAAGAGAAGUUGUUAUCGGCUGGUGGAAAGGAAAUUUUGCUUAAGUCUGUUGUUCAAGCUAUCCCAACAUAUGCAAUGUCCGUCUUUAAAAUUCCUAAAUUUUUUUGCAAAGGAAUCAUAGACGCAAUGUCGCAAUUCUGGUGGGGUGACGAGGACAAUCAGAAAAGGAUGCACUGGAUGGCGUGGUGGAAGAUGUGUGUUCCAAAAGACCUAGGUGGAAUGGGUUUCCAUGAUAUACACUGUUUUAACCUGGCUUUGCUAGCGAAACAAGCUUGGCGCCUCUUGGAAAAUCCUGAAUCCUUAUGUGCAACAAUCCUAAGAGCAAAGUAUUUCCCGGAGGGCGAUUUGAUGAGCGCGGUAUUAAAAAAGGGCUCCUCUUUUACGUGGCAAAGCAUUAUGGCGGGAGUGGUUUCACUCAGGAAUGGCUAUAUAUGGAGAGUUGGAACAGGAGAAAAUAUUGACAUAUGGAGAGAUGCAUGGAUCCCAAAUUGUGCAGAUAGGAAAAUUAUUACACCAAGAAGGGGGAAUCUCCUGACGAAAGUUUCUGAGCUUAUUGACCCAAUCACGAAUUGUUGGGAUGAAGAUUUGGUGAGACAAACUUUGUGGCCAAUUGAUGCCUAUAGAGUCCUAGCGAUCCCGAUCCCUAUGCAUAAUAUGUCGGACUUUAUUGCUUGGAGCUAA